UUUUCUAUGCACAGUAGAAAACAAAAAGUAUUCAACAAAAAAAAAAAAAAACAGAAUACAUUGCAAGGAUUAGAAAGCAAACAACCCUUCUUUACAAGGAUGUAAUGAAGCAUAUUUUUAUUAUCAAAAACAUUGAUGAUGAAAUUGGUAUGCUUUUGGAUACUACUAUUGCUUUUUACUCUACGACAAUGACAUUUCACAUUCAAUUGAAACUAGUAGGUACGCAUGUUUCUCUACAAAAUCGUCCAUCCAUCACUCUUAGUUAGUUCAUGUUCUUUUCUUUUCUUUUUCCUCAUUUUCCUUUUCUUUCCUUUUUUUUGUAAUAUUCUACUAACCUUCGUCCUUUUCUCUUAUGCAUUCCUUUCCAUGUAUAAAGUACCUGUUAAAAAAAAAAGCUAUCUGUGUGAUCCAUCAUUCCAUGACAAACCCUUUCCUUAAGAAUUCUAUUUUACCUCUUUGAUGGCGAAAUUAGAUGACAAAGAAAGGUUCAUAAAUAUAAAAAUUGUUCAUGAUUCUGGAAACAUUGAUGUAAGUAUUGAAUAAUCCAAAGAAUUGUACAUUACUACUUAUCUCACUAAGGGAAACAAAAUAAAUCAUUUACAUCCCAAACUUCCUUGUUAUUGGAAAUUUUGAUUAACUUUCUUAUUCAAUUACUAAAAGAAAAUACUUUCAAGAUGCAUAUUUACUUUUCUAUCCUUCUAUUUUUAUUAAUUACCUUCCUAUCUUGAUCAGAACCCAUACCUGUAUAGUAAAAUAACAUAUUCUAUUAUUCAGGUUUUCUGGUUUUUAGCCGUAAAAAGCUCAUUCGUCAUUUUAGCCCUUCUUUCCCUUCAUAGCUCCAUUGGUUUUUAUAUUCUCGUCAAUAGGACAUAAAUAAUUUUUCUUUCCCGUCCUUCAUUCAUCCAUUUCGCCUCUUCUAAACCCAUCCUAAACAAACCCAGAUUUUGAAUACCGAAAUUCGUAAUAAUUCGAUAUAUUUGUUUAUUGCCACGCACUAUUGCGUUAUAAAAUUGUGCAAACUUAAUGAAUGAGCUUAUUGCAUCUAACUUAUAAUGACUACCUGUGCGAGAAAAUUCGCAAUCCAUUCGUACCCGAUCGCAUGCAUCGUAUAAUCGUACUAAGACACACUAAGCGACGCAUCCUAAUCAAACACACACUUCAAAAGUUGUCUAAACUCACGAACAAAAGCGAUGUUUUGUGGAUUCUAACAAUCUCGUUAUUCUUUCUUUAAGAUGCGUUGAAAAGCUCUGGCCUCGUCCAUCCUUCUUCCCCCUCUAUCCAAGCUUUCUUUUUCGUUCGGUUUAACUUUGCGUUUAAGAGGAGGUGACGUCAUGUUUGCAUGAUAGAGUGGAAUCUUCCGACUAGACAAAAUGUAUAUAUAGUGUCGAGAAUCGCUCUUUUCCUAACUCUACUAUACGACAUUAAUUUGGAA